AGCAGUCGCGGUAAUUCCAGCUCCAAUAGCGUAUAUUAAAGUUGCUGCAGUUAGAAAGCUCGUAGUUGAACUUCGGGAUUAAUUUAUUGGUCGUGCUAUUGUACGUACUGGUAUUAUUGAUUCCUACCUUCUGACGAACCAUGAUGUCAUUAAUUUGGUGUCAUGGGGGAUCAGGACUGUUACUUUGAAAAAAU
rnacentral:rRNA from 1 species